CUGCUAGCACCAAACUCAGGCUGAAGCUGAGAACCACAGAGCUCAGACACGCAAGGGCAAGGUCCUAGAGGUCGGGCUUGUUUGGCUGUGGGGCCAGUUUGGCAUGGUGACCAGGCAGAAGUGGAAUGCAAGUCAUGGCUCAAAAAGAAUCAGGAAUGGAAGGUAUAUGCUGACCAAGUCUGCAGCAUCCCACCAGCAAGGUGUCAAAGGAGGAGUGAUGCCCAAACCCAAAAUGAACCAGGAUUUCAGGUGAGAGAAGAUGGAGCAAAAAGGAGAGUGAGAUUCUGGCCAUUCUGCUGCUGCCCAGAAGAGAAACAUCAUAAGACACCCUUGCAUCUUGCAUUGUAAUCACUAGUAUUUAAUAUUUCUCUCAACUCAUAAUUUUGGAAUUUCUACAGUUACAAUAAAAUUUUACUGCAGUGAAAUGAAAUAAAACAAGAAUAAUAAAAUGCCCAAAGCCAAGAUUAUUUUUCAGAAACCACUUUCCAAAGUGUGUUGAAUAUUUGGUACUUUAAAAAGACCACAUCAU